rnacentral:rRNA from 1 species
AUUGAACGCUGGCGGCAGGCCUAACACAUGCAAGUCGAGCGAGCGGCGGACGGGUGAGUAAUGUAUGGGGAUCUGCCCGAUAGAGGGGGAUAACUACUGGAAACGGUGGCUAAUACCGCAUACCAUCGGAUGUGCCCAGUGGGGAUUAGCUAGUAGGUGGGGUAACGGCUCACCUAGGCGACGAUCCCUAGCUGGUCUGAGAGGAUGACCAGGCACACUGGAACUGAGACACGGUCCAGACUCCUACGGGAGGAAGCAGGGGGGAAUAGUGCACAAUGGGCGCAAGCCUGAUGCAGCCAUGCCGCGUGUAUGAAGAAGGCCUUCGGGUUGUAAAGUACUUUCAGCGAGGAGGCGUUACUCGCAGAAGAAGCACCGGCUAACUCCGUGCCAGCCGCCGCGGUAAUUC